GGACGAUUAGUGUAGUGGUUAUCACGUUUCCUUUACACGGAAAAGGUCGCAGGUUCGAUCCCUGCAUCGUUCA
rnacentral:tRNA from 1 species